GACGAACGCUGGCGGCGUGCUUAACACAUGCAAGUCGAACGGAGUGGCGAACGGGUGAGUAACGCGUGGGCAACCUGCCCUCCAGUUGGGGACAACAUUCCGAAAGGGAUGCUAAUACCGAAUGCGGAAGAUGGGCCCGCGUCUGAUUAGCUAGUUGGUGGGGUAACGGCUCACCAAGGCGAUGAUCAGUAGCCGGUCUGAGAGGAUGAACGGCCACAUUGGGACUGAGACACGGCCCAAACUCCUACGGGAGGCAGCAGUGGGGAAUCUUCCGCAAUGGACGAAAGUCUGACGGAGCAACGCCGCGUGAGUGAUGAAGGUCUUCGGAUUGUAAAACUCUGUUGUUAGGGACGCGGUACCUAACGAGGAAGCCACGGCUAACUACGUGCCAGCAGCCGCGGUAAUACGUAGGUGGCAAGCGUUGUCCGGAAUUAUUGGGCGUAAAGAGCAUGUAGGCGGGCUUUUAAGUCUGACGUGAAAAUGCGGGGCUUAACCCCGUAUGGCGUUGGAUACUGGAAGUCUUGAGUGCAGGAGAGGAAAGGGGAAUUCCCAGUGUAGCGGUGAAAUGCGUAGAUAUUGGGAGGAACACCAGUGGCGAAGGCGCCUUUCUGGACUGUGUCUGACGCUGAGAUGCGAAGCCAGGGUAGCAAACGGGAUUAGAUACCCCGGUAGUCCUGGCCGUAAACGAUGGAUACUAGGUGUAGGACUGUGCCGGAGUUAACGCAAUAAGUAUCCCGCCUGGGGACUACGAUCGCAAGAUUGCAACUCAAAUGAAUUGACGGAUCCCGC
rnacentral:rRNA from 1 species